GCGGGCAUAGUUUAGUGGCAGAACAGUUGCUUCCCAAGCAACGGAUCGGGGUUCGAUUCCCCGUGCCCGCA
rnacentral:tRNA from 1 species